rnacentral:rRNA from 1 species
UACGAGGGGAGCAAGCGUUGUUCGGAAUUACUGGGCGUAAAGCGCGUGUAGGCGGCCCUGCAAGUCGGGUGUGAAAUCCCACGGCUCAACCGUGGAAGUGCACUCGAAACUGCAGGGCUAGAGUCCUGGAGAGGAAGGUGGAAUGCUUGGUGUAGAGGUGAAAUUCGUAGAUAUCAAGCGGAACACCGGUGGCGAAGGCGGCCUUCUGGACAGUGACUGACGCUGAGACGCGAAAGCGUGGGGAGCAAACAGG